CAGAGGGUGCUAGCGUUGUUCGGAAUUAUUGGGCGUAAAGCGCGUGUAGGCGGCCAGGCAAGUUAGGUGUGAAAGCCCUCGGCUUAACCGAGGAAGUGCGCCUAAAACUACUUGGCUUGAGUACCGGAGAGGAUGGUGGAAUUCCCGGUGUAGAGGUGAAAUUCGUAGAUAUCGGGAGGAACACCAGUGGCGAAGGCGACCAUCUGGACGGAUACUGACGCUGAGACGCGAAAGCGUGGGGAGCAAACAGGAUUAGAUACCCUGGUAGUCCACGCCGUAAACGAUGAGCGCUAGGUGUUGUGGGUGUUGACCCCUGCAGUGCCGCAGCUAACGCAUUAAGCGCUCCGCCUGGGAAGUACGGCCGCAAGGCUA
rnacentral:rRNA from 1 species